AAUUCCUUUAGUUUCAACCUACUUACUGUCUCGACGGAUUGCACCUGGAUAGGAGAGGCCUGCCAGGCAGGCAACAGUAUUGGUUAUUAAAUGUGCAGCAUGGUACUAACCCCUUCUGGGUUCUACAUAUUAAGGAGCUCCGUGGUAAGCAGUUUUAUAAUAUUAACUGGAGUGUAUUGGCUGCAUGUAAACAGGUACCCUGAGUCGCUGCAGAGAGGAUGAAGACAUCCACUACAAGGAAUUUAUUAAGGGAGAGGGAGAGCUUUGGUGUGUAUUAAAGCAGCAGGAGCGAAGCAAUGUAGCACACAAGGAAUAGAGGGAAGGUGCCAAGUACACAAAAUGCAAAGGGUUCCAAGAUGUAGUAAUGAGAAGUACUGGGAAAGUGUAAAAGGGGGAGAAAGAGACUUCAGAAGUGACAAACAUGAAGCGAAACCUUUAUAAUGGAUAAAGUAUUAUAUCUAAGAGAAGAAUUUGAAUUUGAUGAGAUGAUGUAAAGUGAAAGAUUUCUUCAACAGCUGAAUGUAUUAAUCUGUAGUUAAUCUCACUGCAGUGUAGGAAAGUCCAAAGAAAGUUGAGAGACCCUUUAUCAGACUUGCACAAAUGAAAAAACCCAAACAAACCGACCCACACUUUCUAUUCCCUGUGAUGUAUGCCAGCCCUUUACACAAAAAGACACGUGCAGCACAACGCAAGCACCUCUGGUAGGAUAUUUGUGUUGGCUGCUGAUAAUGAUUAUCUGUCAUAGGGAAGCAGUUGCAGCCUUUAGACAAAAGGAAGCCUGCUGUACAAUUAAAAGGGCUUGAACAUAAAACGAUACUUCACACUAACAAGCAACGUAAGGAUUUUUAGAGCCCAAAUAAUAGAGAGAGCUUGGACUUUUCUGACCAACUGGCAGCAACUGUCUCCUGAGAACAUUUAGAGAGUUGCACAGGGAUUCAUUAUAAACAUGCAGCUUGAUUUCCAACCAUUGCAAAACAUCUGCAAAGUAUAGACUGCUGUUUGUACGUAUAGUAUUGCGCGAGAACGUCCAGGAGCUUACAAAAAUGCAUGCUGGAGCCAUGAAUCAAACUCGGUCAUGUGACAGAGGGGAGGUACCGGGCUGGCUCCCAGCCAGUGGUAGGAGCUGAUGGGUGGAACAAACGGGGCAUAAAAAGACUAAUAUGACUAACGGAUCCUGGAUGCGUGGUACCCUUAUUUGGAUCUACAGGAAUGUAGGCUCUAGCAGUUCUGCAGCUCUACCAGCCUUUUGCUUGACACUGGAACUGCUGCCCACAAAGUAGAAUCCUGCUGCUCUGUGGUAGGAAGGAUAGAGAAAGAACAUGGCCUGCAUUUUGAAGAGAAAGUCCAUUGUUGCUGUGAGUUUCGUUGCAGCAUUCCUCUGUCUGAUCAUUGUUCGUCUCACAAAUGAAGUAACUUUCCCUUUGAUCCUAAACUGCUUUGGACAAACCAGCGUCAAAUGGAUACCUUUUUCUAAUGGCCAAAGGCAGCCUCUGAGAACUCAUUAUGGAUAUAUAAAUGUGAAAACACAAGAGCCUCUACAACUUGACUGUGACCUCUGUGCCAUUGUUUCAAACUCGGGACAGAUGGCUGGCCAGAAGGUGGGAGCCGAGAUAGACAAGUCCUCAUGCAUAUGGAGGAUGAACAAUGCUCCCACAAAGGGCUAUGAGGAGGAUGUUGGGAAGAGGACAACAGUAAGAGUGGUCUCUCACACAAGUGUGCCUCUCCUACUCAAGAAUCCCGAGUACUUUUUCAAAGAAACCAACAACACUGUUUAUGUGAUCUGGGGACCUUUUCGAAACAUGAGGAAGGAUGGAAAUGGCAUUGUGUACAACAUGCUGAAGAAAACUGUUGACAGCUACCCAACUGCCAAAAUUUAUGUGACAACAGAAAAGCGCAUGAGUUACUGUGAUGCAGUAUUUAAGAAGGAGACAGGAAAAGACCGAGUCCAGUCAGGUUCAUAUCUCAGUACGGGUUGGUUUACCUUAAUUUUGGCUAUGGAUGCCUGCUAUGGAAUUCACGUCUAUGGGAUGAUAAAUGACACCUACUGCAAGUCAGAAGGCUUUCGUAAAGUUCCCUACCACUAUUAUGAGCCAGGAAGAGAUGAGUGUGAGGAAUACUUUCUGCAUGAAAAUGCUCCAUAUGGAGGCCAUAGGUUUAUCACGGAAAAAAAAGUAUUUGCUAAAUGGGCCAAGAAGCACACAAUAAUAUUUACACACCCCAACUGGACAGUGUCUUGAUACUGGUUUUCUUAACUCUCCCUUAACAGCAUAUUACAAAAAUGUCUCAGUUUACAAUAAUUUUGCUUGCAUCUGGCUGGCCUUUCUCAGCCUAGGUAACACUAAACUAAAAACUAGAAGACAAAGAGGGUGAUGGUUCAGCUGUUAAGCAAAAUUAAUCAUCUGUGGAAGGCAGACACAUUGUUUGUUAUUUCUUAGGGUUUUACUCCACACAAUGCACUUUAUAUUUUAACUGGAUUUUACUUCAAGGCAGGAGCAAUUAAAGACAGAUGAGAUUUCCUGCAUAUACAGGUGCACACAGAGAACAUGGUGGUCCUUUAAAACUUGUCCAUCACCUUAGUUAAUUAAAAUUAGUAUUUGUAGCUCAUUUGCAGUACUGCAGCACUAGUUCCAUUUGUGGUAUUAGUAGAAAUUUUCCACAAAAGACAUAUGAGGAAAAAUAUAGAUCUCCAAGGUCUUUGAGUGAGCAAAUUUAAAAAAACACCUGAAUACAUUGAUACAUGUGAGCACUUGCAUAUAUGGUAAAAUUAGAGAUGAGCUAAAUAUGGUUCUUGAACUGUGCAGAACUCUUGCAUGAGAAGAUACUAUUUACUCAAGGCUCCAAAUCAAUUAAUAACUUCUGAAAUGCACCUUUCUUCCACCCUGGUCAGGCUGCACCAUCUUGGAUGAUGCAUUUUGUACUUUUUGAGGCUGUUGUCCCACAGUUUAGCUCCAGCAGCAUGGCACUUAGCAAAGACUGUGUUUUGCAGCCCAUGCUGAACCUUUGUCUGUUGUACCAAGCAUGCUGUCAGUACCCAAGCUGGUUAGUGUAAAGUUGUCGCGUGAACAUCUCCAUUUACUCCAGUUGUGCCUUUGAGUUGCUCCAGCAUCCAAAUACCAGUCAGUAUUUUGACAGUAUUUCCCAUGCAGCCAUCAUAAUUUAUUUUAAAUCUCCAGUUUCCCCAUCUUUAAAAACAGGGAUAGUAUCUAUCUACCUCACAAAGGAGUUGUGAGGAUUAAUUUAAGUCCAUAAAGCACUUUCCUGAUGAGGAAUGCUACAGAGCAUGUAUUCUUAACACAAAACCAAUGGUACCUGUCAUUUAUUCUUGUCUGUUGGGUAUUUGACGAAAGUGACAGCAUGUCUGGAUCUGAUGGCGAAUUGUUCUGCGCAUCCACUUGCCUACUGAGGAUAAUUUGUAAUACUGCGUUCUCUCAGUUUGCAUUGCUUCAGAUGGAGUUGAAAGAACCCACCAACUCGCAGUAUUAUCUGCACAUCAAGAGGCAGUUCAAGAAUUUAAAAUAUACUCACCUCUAGUUGAAAUAUGUAUUUCCAAGCUUAUUCCCGUGGAAAGUUUUCAGCUGCAGCAGACUCAUUUGUAAUAUGACCAUAAUUCAACUACACAUACACAGCAGACAUGAUCCCAGACUUUUCAUCCCCACUAGAUGUCCAGAUCACAUCCCUCUGCUUAUACCAAGGCCUCUUCACAGAAAGAAAAAAAGUAGUCUAUGUAUCCAGCCAAAUUCCCUUUCCAUCUGGGCUGGGAGGCUCCAUCUGCAGACUGCUCGUAUCAGUUACAUCAGUAAGUGGGAAGGACUGAGGAAGAGUUCUACUUAGGAGCAGAUGGUGUUCCAACUUCUAAAAAAUGCCCCUAAAGUGCUUUAGGAGAGGAGUACCCAUUGAUCUUUCCUGGAAAUACUUUACCGAAGUAUUCUGUUUCUUCAAAUGCCUUUAGCUCCUGUGUAGAACUAUUGUCCUACUCUCUCCAGUAGGAAUUAGCAGCAAUGAGAAAACAUGCCCUUUACAGGAAAAAGUAGAGGCAAAUUCUGUGUUGUUGAAGAUUUCUAUGUAAACAACACCAGGGAUGAAGAAGUCAGCCUGACACAAAUUAUCUGAAGACUCACUGCUUUAGGAAUCUUUGAUGACUCAAUUCAAAACUAAUGGAAAUCACCUUGGCAAGUUAAUGAAUACAGCACCCAUCCCAGUAAAAUCUUUGCGCUCCUAGGUACUAAGGUAAGCAGUGUUUUGUCUGAGAAGUACCAUGUGCACAUAAUGCAUUGCAUAGUUAAUAAAGAGGAGCUCAUCCAACACUCGGAGGGCUGAUGCAAAUGGUCUUUAUUCACCUGCUCGUGGGUUGGACAAAAGUAGGACCCCACACAAAGGUAGCUGGCAGCAGAGCGCAGAUGCUCAACCAGAGGACAUGUCCAGGUAAGUAAGAAUUAAAUAAGUAGUCACCCAUGAGUUAUAACUGAAUGGUGCCCUUAGUAAGUAGAAAAUGAGAAGCACUUUACAUAUUGAUGCUUGUAUUUUGCUGACUUUUUUUUCUGCGUGUAUCUCAGAAAUAGCGUAUGUCUUUAGUUGUGCUGAAGCAAGUCUGGGGUUCAUUUAUGAUGAACCUUAGGGUACCCAUAAGAGUGAAACUCUGUGUUAGUGCGAAAGGAUCACACAGGAGCUGUCUGUGGGCAUUGUGAUGUACUGCGUACAACAGAGUCAUGUAUUUGCUGAAAAAGGCCUGGUUUUCCUGACUAGGCACAGUUCUUUUGAGGAGAAAGUGUUUCAUUUUCAGCGGAUGUGUCUCAUUCUGUUCCUUCUUUCCUGAGAGGAUGCAGAGGAAUAUGACUUAGCCAUGUGGGAGUGAAGAAUGGUAUGGUAAAUAGCCAACCACCAGAGUCAUAUAUAUUUUUCUGGCUAUCGCUGUGAUGUAUAGCUAAUGACACAGAGAAAAGCAAGCUUUUUGUAAACCUUGUAUUGCAUCAUCUACAGAAGUCUCAUGUGUCUGUUCUGGAUUGGAGUCUCCUAGGCAAACCCUCCAGAAAGAGGCUGAAGGAGAAAGAGAGGGUCUGUCCCCAUUGAAAGACAGGGCUUCUGUGGAAGCCAUAGUAAUCUGUGUGGCAUACCUGGGCCUGCUCCCCCAGCUUUCAUAGGCUCCCCACCCAGGCGCAGCUUUGGGCCCUUUCCAGCCCCAUUGGAUGAGGUGCGUUCUCCAGCUGACUUAUACAGCCUGUGAGCUGCACAAAGUCUACCCCUUCUGUGGGGCCAGGGGAAUGGUGAUGCUAACUUGGGGGUGAGGAGUGAUGGGUGUCAGAGCAGGGAUGCUCCCUCAAGUCAGCAGCAUGGUCUUGCUUGGAGCACAGUCUCACCUCAGAUGUGGAACUCAGUUUCUUUGAAUGUGGUAGGAAAGAUAUCACUGGGUUUUGUUAUUGUUUGUAUGAUUAACUCACAGAGUCACCAUUUUAUGGGUGUCUUAAACAGCUGAUAUUGUGUCUUUUUUUGCAUUGCUUGCUGCUAUUUCUGGGAAUUCCUCAAGAUAUGCAGCUGUCAGCAUCUGCCACUGCUGUUCUGAUUUACUGGCCAUAAAGAGACUGUAAACUUGAACUAAUGCAUGUUCUUACCAUGUAUUAUGCAUGAUAGCAUGUUACACAUUCUCGCACUAUAAUAAAUAAUGUAAGUAAGUUGUGUGUAAACUUAGUUUAAGCAGCGGGAGUAGUCCUUUUUCUUUUUCUCAUAUCAUGUGUUGCCCAGAGCACUUUGCUGGAGUUCUGUAAGAGCCAUUAGCAGCUGGUAGCAAAUAAAUUGUUGAAACGAGCCAGGAAAUAUUUACUAAAUUUGACAUUUUUCACUGGAAUAUCAGAAAUAGUUAAACUUGUUUUUGUGAACCUCCUCUAGUGCUUACAGUCACAAUUCUAUGUUCUGUUAUAAGGAAAUCACAUCUGAGUGUAACAUCGGGAAUGACUUUAUUGACAUGGAUAAUGCCAAGAUGUUGGCAGGGCAGUGAUCACAAAUUUUUGACAUUUAUGGGAGUAUCUUUUUAACGGGAAUUGCACAUGUAGAAGAUUGGCUAAGACACCUGUAGUUUUUUCAUAUUGUUGCUGCUGAAAAUAGUAUUUCUGAGGAUGGCUGGAGGAAGAAAAAAUUGUGUGCUCACUGCUCUUUUGGCUGUUCAUCUAUCCCCUCGUCAUACACAGACACAAGCACACACAUCUGCAAACACAAAGAGUGUCGACAGGGAAAGUCUUUUUUUCCAGAUAGUGGCAAGUAAGAACAAAUAAGACUAAUUUACAUGGUAGAUGUAGGUUAUAGUACUUGUUGAUUCAUGUUUAUUCUGUAUAUUUCCAAAGUCUAGGUCUACAUUAUUGAGGAAUUAGCUCAGCUGGAUAAGAUCUGUAGCCUGAAACUGUUGGUGCUAAGGACCUGAUCUCCACACCAUGCAUAGUCUCUAGUUUGGUUCCAUGGGCUGAAUGCCACUAGUGAUUGGAGCACAUCUUUUAGUUUCAUCCAAAAGGAGUCUAGUUCACAUCCUCAGGACCACUCCAUCAGGCAUACAGAACCUUGUUAAGUGAGGCCACAAUACUGGACUGCCCCACAAGAAAGUGAAAUUCCUAUUAGCCCAUCUUUUGGCUAAAUAGAAUCCCUUUGUUGGUUCCCCCCAACCCCGCCUCAGGCUUUGCAUAGGUGUUUUUUUUCAUAGGUAUUUUUCUUUCAAAUCUGAGAUCUGAUUCCUCCUGUCAGAUCAUGGGAAUCAAGGGCUCCUGACUCCUCCUAAAAUUAGCAUCCAAAUGUGCUCCGUAAAUCAGGAAUGUGGUAUAGGACAGGGUAAUCCAGCAUGCGUACAGAAUGGAAAGUGCUUGGCUUGAUGAAGAGUUAACUGAUUCCACUUGUGGAUGUGAUUUUUAUCAUGAACAUGCUGGAUGCUUGCUAAUGCAUGCAUUGUUUUUAUAUACUGCAUCGCACAUAAAAAUUCCCUUCAUCAUUUUCCCAGGGUAUUUUUGUUCUUGUGGCCUUCCAGUUGUGUCUGUAUAUGUGUGCAUAUGUGCAUGUAUAUACAGUGUACAAGCAUUCUUCUGUUCUUAGACAGUUGCUACUAUAUGCUGCUAACAUAAACUUAUUUAGAAAGUUCAUGUUAAACUAUUUAUUACAUGUAUUCUUUGGUUGCCUUUUUGUAAUGCUGACAAGUGUAUUCAUAGUAGAUAUCACUGUAGACUUAGAAAACUUUCAUACUAUUUAUACUUAUUUUAGAUGUUCCGCCGUGUGUUUUCUUGCUAUAUGCUACUUAGUUUUUGCUCCCAUUUGGAGAAUGUGCUUCUGUGUACUUGUAAAAUUGUGCCUGGGUUAUUUUAAAAUAUAAAUAAAUGUAUAUGAUUUUCCAA